UACGUAGGGUGCAAGCGUUAUCCGGAUUUAUUGGGCGUAAAGGGUCCGCAGGCGGAAGGAUGCGUACUGGGUAAAAGCCUUCAGCUCAACUGAAGAACUGCUCAGUAUACGAUCUUUCUCGAGUUCGUUCGGGGAAGCUGGAAUUCUCGGUGGAGGGGUGAAAUCCGUUGAUAUCGAGAGGAACGCCAAGGGCGAAAGCAGGCUUCUAGGACGCGACUGACGCUCAGGGACGAAAGCUCGGGUAGCAAAAGGG
rnacentral:misc_RNA from 1 species